AGUCGUAACAAGGUCUCCGUUGGUGAACCAGCGGAGGGAUCAUUACCGAGUUUACAACUCCCAAACCCCUGUGAACAUACCUAUACGUUGCCUCGGCGGAUCAGCCCGCGCCCCGUAAAAAGGGACGGCCCGCCCGAGGACCCCUAAACUCUGUUUUUAGUGGAACUUCUGAGUAAAACAAACAAAUAAAUCAAAACUUUCAACAACGGAUCUCUUGGUUCUGGCAUCGAUGAAGAACGCAGCAAAAUGCGAUAAGUAAUGUGAAUUGCAGAAUUCAGUGAAUCAUCGAAUCUUUGAACGCACAUUGCGCCCGCCAGUAUUCUGGCGGGCAUGCCUGUUCGAGCGUCAUUUCAACCCUCAAGCUCAGCUUGGUGUUGGGACUCGCGGUAACCCGCGUUCCCCAAAUCGAUUGGCGGUCACGUCGAGCUUCCAUAGCGUAGUAAUCAUACACCUCGUUACUGGUAAUCGUCGCGGCCACGCCGUAAAACCCCAACUUCUGAAUGUUGACCUCGGAUCAGGUAGGAAUACCCGCUGAACUUAAGCAUAUCAAUA
rnacentral:rRNA from 1 species